UACGUAGGGUGCAAGCGUUGUCCGGAAUUAUUGGGCGUAAAGAGCUCGUAGGCGGUUUGUCGCGUCUGCUGUGAAAACUCGGGGCUUAACUCCGGGCCUGCAGUGGGUACGGGCAGACUAGAGUGCGGUAGGGGAGACUGGAAUUCCUGGUGUAGCGGUGAAAUGCGCAGAUAUCUGGAGGAACACCGGUGGCGAAGGCGGGUCUCUGGGCCGUAACUGACGCUGAGGAGCGAAAGCGUGGGAGCGAACAGG
rnacentral:rRNA from 1 species